rnacentral:rRNA from 1 species
UACGUAGGGUGCGAGCGUUGUCCGGAAUUACUGGGCGUAAAGGGCUCGUAGGCGGUUUGUCGCGUCGGGCGUGAAAACCUUGGGCUUAACUCAGGGCUUGCUUUCGAUACGGGCAGACUAGAGGUAUGCAGGGGAGGACGGAAUUCCUGGUGUAGCGGUGAAAUGCGCAGAUAUCAGGAGGAACACCGGUGGCGAAGGCGGUUCUCUGGUCAUGACCUGACGCUGAGGAGCGAAAGUGUGGGGAGCGAACAGG